rnacentral:rRNA from 1 species
AGUCACUGACAUUAGAUACCCGUGUAGUCCAGGGUGUAAACGCUGCAGACUUGGUGUUGGAAGUCCUUUGGGGCAUUCAGUGCCGGAGAGAAGUUGUUAAGUCUGCUACUUGGGGAGUACGUCCGCAAGGAUGAAACUUAAGGAAUUGGCGGGGAGCACCGCAACGGGAGGAGCGUGCGGUUUAAUUGGAUUCAACACCGUAAAACUCACCAGGGAAGACUGUUACAUGAAGGCCGAGAUGAAGACUCUGCUAGAUUUUCAG